UACGUAGGGUGCAAGCGUUGUCCGGAAUUAUUGGGCGUAAAGAGCGUGUAGGCGGCCCGACCAGUCCGCUGUGAAAGUCCAGGGCUCAACCCUGGAAUGCCGGUGGAUACUGUCGGGCUAGAGUCCGGAAGGGGCGAGUGGAAUUCCUGGUGUAGCGGUGAAAUGCGCAGAUAUCGGGAAGAACACCUAUGGCGAAGGCAGCUCUCUGGGACGGUACUGACGCUGAGACGCGAAAGCGUGGGGAGCGAACAGG
rnacentral:rRNA from 1 species